AUACCAAGCGCCAUAAAAACAAAUAGAGGAUCAAGAACAAUUUGCAAGCUGCAAUAAUUAUAAAGAAUAUGGCUACCAGUUCGAAUCAUAUCGAUUCAUGGCGUAAUUGCAGUUGGCAAAAUCAUUGAGGCAGCGCUCUUAUUGGCAGGAAAAGAGUAACAUGUGUUGUUUUUUAUUUGCCAUAGGCAAACAUUUCGGCAUUAAUCGGCUUAUUUCUGUCUCUCUUCUCGGAUUGGACUAUGUGAGGCCCCAGAACAAUGUAUGCGUGCCCUUCAGCCCCAGUAAUGGAGGUUUUGGGCCGUCAGAAGAGCUUGUUUGCCUGUGGAGUGGCAGCACAGUGGGCUAGCAAUUGGUGCGCAGCACAGGAGAAGCAUCUGUUCCAUCUACAGGCUCGUUUGGAGGAAAAUAACUAGGAGCGGGAGGGCCAAAUCCCUUCGACCGCAAUGUAGUGCUCGAGCAGGCAUUGCUAGGAUGGUAGGUCCAUAUUGUUUGCCUGCUGGCCAGGCCUGGUACAGGCUGGCUGAAAGCGGGAGGGCCAAGUCCCUUUAACCGCUGUAUGGAGAUCUUGUCAAGGUCAGCUGGCUGAAAGUGACUUCUAUGCUAUUAUCAAUCUCAUUCAAGAGCAACGUUUUGGAAAUAAGGCUUCCCCAAAUGGGGAUAGCGUAUGACUAAAUAGGAAUUAAGAUUUGCUUGAAUAUUGUCACCUUACAGCGUGUUCUUAAACAGCUGUUUGCUCCGACAAGCCAUUUAAGGCGAUUAUGUGUAGCCUUGGCUUGGCAGCAGAGUUUGGCAAUAUACUUUUUAAUAGAGAGCUUACUAUCGAUGGUAACCCCUAAA